UACGUAGGGUGCAAGCGUUUAAUCGGAAUACUGGGCGUAAAGCGUGCGCAGGCGGUCCGUUAAGACAGAUGUGAAAUCCCCGGGCUUAACCUGGGAACUGCAUUUGUGACUGGCGGACUCGAGUAUGGCAGAGGGGGGUAGAAUUCCACGUGUAGCAGUGAAAUGCGUAGAGAUGUGGGAGGAAUACCGAAUGGCCGAAGGCAGCCCCCUGGGCCAAUACUGACGCUCAUGCGACGAAAGCGUGGGGAGCAAACAGG
rnacentral:rRNA from 1 species